rnacentral:rRNA from 1 species
AAAUAGACUACCCGGGUAGUCCACGCCGUAAACCGAUGGAUACUAGCUGUUGGGGGCGACCUCAGUGGCUAAGCGAAAGUGAUAAGUAUCCCACCUGGGGAGUACGUUCGCAAGAAUGAAACUCAAAGGAAUUGACGGGGGCCCGCACAAGCGGUGGAGCAUGUGGUUUAAUUCGAUGAUACGCGAGGAACCUUACCAAGGCUUAAAUGCAGACUGACCGUUUUGGAAACAGAACUUUCGCAAGACAGUCUACAAGGUGCUGCAUGGUUGUCGUCAGCUCGUGCCGUGAGGUGUCAGGUUAAGUCCUAUAACGAGCGCAACCCCUGUUGUUAGUUGCCAGCGAGUAGUGUCGGGAACUCUAACAAGACUGCCAGUGCAAACUGUGAGGAAGGUGGGGAUGACGUCAAAUCAUCACGGCCCUUACGCCUUGGGCUACACACGUGCUACAAUGGCCGGUACAGAGAGCAGCCACCUCGCGAGGGGGAGCGAAUCUACAAAGCCGGUCACAGUUCGGAUCGGAGUCUGCAACUCGACG